CAACUUCAGCACGGAUCUCUUGGCUCUCGCAUCGAUGAAGAACGCAGCGAAAUGCGAUAAGUAAUGUGAAUUGCAGAAUUCAGUGAAUCAUCGAAUCUUUGAACGCACCUUGCGCUCCUUGGUAUUCCGAGGAGCAUGCCUGUUUGAGUGUCAUUA
rnacentral:rRNA from 1 species